UCACCUUUUACUCGAACAAAGUAGGAAAAUAGCGAAGAAAAACACUUGAAUAUUCACCGAAAUAUUAAUGUUGUUUAAAAGUAACAAAAGAGCAAUGAGAGGAGGGAGAGUGAUGAGAGAAUUUUUUGAUUGAGAGUGAAUGAGUAUCUGAGUUGUUGAGUUGAUGAGUUGAUGAGUAAAAGGGGUCUUAUUUAUAUACCAAAGAGGGGGAAACAAAUAAGGAAAAGAAAUAUUUUUAAGGAAUCAAUUAAUAUUCCCUUUUCCUUAUUCCAAAUCAGAAAAAAAAUAAUUCAUUACCAUAAUACAAACAAAUAAGGAAUCAGUAUUUAUUCACAAGGAAAAAUAAAUCAAU
rnacentral:misc_RNA from 1 species